AUGGGCUGUUUGCUUACAAACCCAUUUUUUCACAAAGGGUUGCAGCUGCAUCUCGGCCCUGGCAGAUGGUGGGAGCUGUGUGCUCGUUCCCCUGUCCCAGCGUCCCGGGCUGCCGUGAUGGCCAUCCCUGCCGUGAGGAGGAGCGGCAGAGAUCCCCCGCACCCCCGGGAGCCCGCGGGCAGACACCGACCCUGCUCCGGGCUGGCGGCUAUCGCUGGGGGAGGCUAUCUCGUCCAGGACUACGUUUCCCAGCGGCUCCUCCCGGGGCUGCACAUGCUCGAUGCGGCUCCCGGCUCCUCCCGGCAGCUCCCGGCGCGGCGCCCGGUGCGGCGCAGGGGCGGUCGGUGCGGUUCCCGGUUCUCGUUCCCGGUGCGGCUCCCGGUGCGGCUCCCGGUACCAUCGGCGGCGCGGCGCUGCCCGGGGCGGUUCCCGAUUCCCGGGGCGGUUCCCGGUUCCAGGGGCGGUUCCCGGUGCCACCCCCGGCGGGGCAUCCUCCCGGUGCGCCCUCGGGAGAGCACGGCCGAGCCCCGCCGCCGCCCCGGGCCCGAGCGCCCCCGGGCCCCGCGGGCCGGCAGCAUGCCCCGCGGGCGAGCCUGGACGCAGGCGGAGGUCAGCAGCCUCCUGUCGCUGGUGGGGGGCUCGGGGGAGGCCGCACUGCUCAUGGCCUCCACGUCGCGACCCAACGAGGCGCUCUGGCGGGAGAUCUCCCGGGGUCUGGCGGCGGCCGGCUACGGGCGCAGCGUGGCCCAGUGCCGCUCCAAGUGGAAGGCGCUCAAGCAGGCUUUCCACUCGGAGCGGGAGACGCGCCGGAGGGCAGGACACCACUCGCCCCGGCUGCCGCCGCACUAUCGAGCCAUGAAGAGCAUCUGGAAGGCGGCCGGACGGCCCGUCUUCGGCGAACGGAGGAUGCCAGACGUGGUGAAGCUGCCCUCCAGAAAGCGCAGGUCAGCCCUUGCCACACGCUCUCCAUCCUCAUCAGAGACACCAGAGCAGGACGUUGGCGGGGACACCCCCUGCACACUGCUGUCUCCGAUGCUGCAGCGUGCGAAGGACGAGCCAGACACUCGUUUUCCUGGUGAGACGUCCCUGGGGAUGGGAAGAGGAAACCAAAUGCUGCCCCUGGCUGUUGCAGCCACAGGCUCCCAUGAGACAGCAGCCACGAGUGAGCAGCCAGCAACAGCUGAAGAUGCAUCAGACACAAGCCUGCAUGGUGGGUGCUCCCUGCAGCUUCCCAACACCCUCACAGAGAGCUCUCAGAGCCAUGGUGAGGUGCCAUUGACCCCUCUCUCACUGCAGGGUCUGGCGUGGCAGGCUUGCUCCAGAAUGUCCAGCAACUGCUGGUGCAGAUCCUGCAGACAUCACGGCGGCAGCAGGCACUGCUGGAGAGCCUGGCCAGUGACACAGUCUCCCACCUCCACCUCCUUUCCCACAGUCUCGUGCAGGUGGGCGAGACCUUGCACCAACUCCUGCUCCGGCCACAGAUCCAUCCUGGCCCCAUUGGCCACUACAUCCCCCAUAUGCCCCUUUUUGAGGGUGGCUCUGGAGUGCCCUGCUCCCCUGGUGCUCCCCACACUUCCCUGGAUCACAAAGAGGAGCCUCAGCUGUCCCCCAAUGCCAGGUGCAUCACCCCGUGAGUGCCACCAUCACUGGCCACAGGAGCAACAGCUUUGCUACACAGCCACAGCACAGAUCUUUAUAUCAGAGGUUCCAGAUAUUUUCAAAGUUUAUACUAGAGAGACAUUUUAAUAAAAUUAAAAAUAGCUUUUCUACCAGU
rnacentral:lncRNA from 1 species